rnacentral:snoRNA from 1 species
CUGCGCACACACUCCCAGGCGGAUAGUCCCAAUGGGGCCCUGAACCGUUUGGAUUAACCGGCGCAGUCAGUAACAUUGGGCCAUAUGAUAGCGGUUGCGCCAUACCUUUGCGCUGUCCGCAUAGCUCCAGGACCAUACAGCU